rnacentral:rRNA from 1 species
GGCGAGUGGCGGACGGGUGAGUAUAACAUAGGAAUUUGCCUUCGGGUGGGGGACAACUUGAGGAAACUCAAGCUAAUACCGCAUAUACCUUACGGGGGAAAGCGUGGGAUCUUCGGACCACGUGCCAGAAGAGAAGCCUAUGCCGGAUUAGCUAGUUGGUGGGGUAAAGGCCUACCAAGGCGAUGAUCCGUAGCUGGUCUGAGAGGAUGAUCAGCCACACUGGGACUGAGACACGGCCCAGACUCC